GAUGAACGCUGGCGGCGUGCCUAAUACAUGCAAGUCGAGCGAAUGGAUUAAGAGCUUGCUCUUAUGAAGUUAGCGGCGGACGGGUGAGUAACACGUGAGUAACCUGCCCUUGACUCUGGGAUAACUGCGAGAAACUGUAGCUAAUACCGGAUACGACCCUCGGCGGCAUCGCCAGGGGGUGGAAAGAAUUUCGGUCAAGGAUGGACUCGCGGCCUAUCAGCUAGUUGGUGAGGUAACGGCUCACCAAGGCGACGACGGGUAGCCGGCCUGAGAGGGUGACCGGCCACACUGGGACUGAGACACGGCCCAGACCCCUACGGGAGGCAGCAGUGGGGAAUAUUGCACAAUGGGCGCAAGCCUGAUGCAGCAACGCCGCGUGAGGGAUGACGGCCUUCGGGUUGUAAACCUCUUUUAGUAGGGAAGAAGCGAAAGUGACGGUACCUGCAGAAAAAGCACCGGCUAACUACGUGCCAGCAGCCGCAGUAA
rnacentral:rRNA from 1 species